UGGGAAAUGAUGAUGCCUGUGACUGCUGACAAGACUCUGAUCUCUGUCGUAUUCGUACUGGCUGAUCCCA
ensembl:snoRNA Gm25506 predicted gene, 25506